rnacentral:misc_RNA from 1 species
GAAAUGCGAUAAGUAGUGUGAAUUGCAGAAUUCAGUGAAUCAUCGAAUCUUUGAACGCACAUUGCGCCCCUUGGUAUUCCAUGGGGCAUGCCUGUUCGAGCGUCAUUUGAACCUUCAAGCUAUGCUUGGUGUUGGGCGUUGUCCGCAAGGACUCGCCUCAAAAUCAUUGGCAGCAGAUUAUCAGCAGUUCGGCGCAGCACAUUUGCGCUCCUUCUUGUAAUCUACGUCCAUCAAGAUACCAAUCGUUUGACCUCGGAUCAGGUAGGGAUACCCGCUGAACUUAA